GCCCGGGUGGCGGAACUGGUAGACGCAAGGGACUUAAAAUCCCUCGCGCUGUAAAGCGCGUGCCGGUUCGACUCCGGCCCCGGGCA
rnacentral:tRNA from 1 species